AGAUUCAUGUACAUGUAAAAUGUGAGCAGGUUCAUGUAGAUGUACCAAUAUGAGUAGGUACAUGUGCCUGUAUGAAGUACAAAUGUGAGCAGGUUCAUGUACAUGUACCAGUGUGAGUAGGUACAUGUGCCUGUAUGAAGUACAAAUGUGAGCAGGUCCAUGUACAUGUACCAGUGUGAGUAGGUACAUGUGCCUGUAUGAAGUACAAAUGUGAGUAGAUUUAUGUACAUGUAAAAUGUGAGCAGGUUCAUGUAGAUGUACCAAUAUGAGUAGGUACAGGUGCCUGUAUGAAGUACAAAUGUGAGCAGGUUCAUGUACAUGUACCAGUGAGAGUAGGUACAUGUGCCUGUAUGAAGUACAAAUGUGAGUAGAUUCAUGUACAUGUACAAAUGUGAGCAGGUUCAUGUACAUGUACAAAUGUAAGUAAGUUGAUGUACAAAUGCAAGUAGGUUUAUGUUCUUUUAUGAAUAGGUUCAUAUACAUGUAAUGAGAGUACUUUUCAAUGUACACGUAAAAUAUGAGUAGGUUUAAGUGCCUAUAUAAUACACUAAUGAAAGUAGGUUUACAAGUAUGUAUGUACAUGUAUAAAUGUGAGGAAGGUUCAUAUGUCUAUAUAAUGUACCAUUAUGAGAAGGUAUAUUAUAAAUAUACAAGUUUGAACAAGUUCAUGUACAUGUACAAAUGUGAGAAGGUUCAUGUACAUAUAUUAAUGUGAGUAGUUUCAUGUACAAAUGUGAAUAUGUCAAUGUGCCUGUAUUUUGUACCAACAUCAGUAGGCUCAUGUGCCUGUGGAAUGUGUCAGUGUGGAUAGAUAUAAUGUACAUCUUCCAACGUUAGUAGGUUCACAUCCUAAGUAUUGUUUGGAAACUGACAAGCUGACUGAACAUUAUUUCUUAAUAAUAUGCCAGGAGACAUUACAUAAAACAUAACAAUAUCAUGCGUGUUUCAUGUAGCACUGUGAAUAGGUUCAUAACAAGAUAAUGCUGUAUGCUAGUGCAUUAGUGUGGUGCAAUUUAUGUAUAUGUAAAUUAAAUUUUAUUUUAUUAAAGUAAUUAAAUAUAUCAUGUACUGUUGUGUUAAUAUAUAAUAUAUGUACAUAUAUUAAACACAUAAAUAUGCUAUGUGUUAUAUACCCAAAAGAACAGGCUACAUGCACAUGUGUGGGAUGUGAACAGGAUACAUACACAAGCAUAAUGUACUAAUAUGAACACAUUAUAUGCACAUGUGUGUUAUAAACUGAAUGUAAACUUGCAAAUUUGUAAUGUACCAAUGUGAACAGAUAAUGUGAACACCUUGAUGUACAAAAUGUGAACAAGGAUACGUGUGUGCUGUAAACAGGGAACAUACAUCCAAGUAUUGUACUAAUACGAACAUGUUACAUAUACUUAGGUCACACGCAUGUGUAUAACGUACAUCUGCAUGCAGUUUACACAAACUGAACAGACUGCAGUCUUGUACAUAUGAGAUUAGCUCACAUACAAGUACAUUUGCGUUUAGUUCUCAUGCAUUCAUAUAAAUAGGAUAUACAAACACAUGUGUAAUGCACUAAUUUUAUAGGCAAGUUACACAAUAUAAUAUACAUAUAGUGUAAUAAUCUGAUUAUAGGUCAAAUAGAAAGCAACAAACGUAGAGUGUAAACAUUUAUUAUCACAGCAAAAGGUAUUAGUAUAGAGAAUGUGGUCUAAAUGCAAUCAAUAAUAUCAUUAUAAUUUUUUUUCAAAUUGUAAAUAUAAAAUACAAAAAAAAUGUAGUUAAAUAAAUGUAGUAAAAAUAUAAUAAGAUUAAUGCAAUA
rnacentral:lncRNA from 1 species